GGCUCAGAUUGAACGCUGGCGGCGUGCUUAACACAUGCAAGUCGUGCGAGAAAGGUUCCUCGGGGACUGAGUAGAGCGGCGCACGGGUGAGUAACGCGUGGGUGACCUACCCAGGAGACCGGGAUAACAGUGGGAAACUGCUGCUAAUACCGGGUACGCUUCAUAUUUCACGUAUGGGGGGAAAGGCGGCCUCUGCUUGCAAGCUGCCACUCUUGGAUGGGCCCGCGUCUCAUUAGCUUGUUGGUAGGGUAACGGCCUACCAAGGCGACGAUGAGUAGCUGGUCUGAGAGGAUGAUCAGCCACACUGGGACUGGAACACGGCCCAGACUCCUACGGGAGGCAGCAGUGGGGAAUAUUGCGCAAUGGGCGAAAGCCUGACGCAGCGACGCCGCGUGGAAGGGAAGAAGGCCUUCGGGUCGUAAACCUCUGUCAGGAGGGAAGAAACCAUGGGAGUCGAAUAGGCUCUCGUGCUGACGGUACCUCCGGAGGAAGCACCGGCUAACUCCGUGCCAGCAGCAGC
rnacentral:rRNA from 1 species